rnacentral:rRNA from 1 species
AGAGUUUGAUCAUGGCUCAGGACGAACGCUGGCGGCGUGCCUAAUACAUGCAAGUCGAGCGAGACUCUUCGGAGUCUAGCGGCGGACGGGUGAGUAACACGUGGGCAACCUGCCUGUAAGACUGGGAUAACACCGGGAAACCGGUGCUAAUACCGGAUAAUCCUUUUCUUCUCAUGAGGAAAAGCUGAAAGUCGGUUUCGGCUGACACUUACAGAUGGGCCCGCGGCGCAUUAGCUAGUUGGUGAGGUAACGGCUCACCAAGGCGACGAUGCGUAGCCGACCUGAGAGGGUGAUCGGCCACACUGGGACUGAGAUACGGCCCAGACUCCUACGGGAGGCAGCAGUAGGGAAUCUUCCACAAUGGACGAAAGUCUGAUGGAGCAACGCCGCGUGAGCGAUGAAGGCCUUCGGGUCGUAAAGCUCUGUUGUUAGGGAAGAACAAGUACCGGAGUAACUGCCGGUACCUUGACGGUACCUAACCAGAAAGCCACGGCUAACUACGUGCCAGCAGCCGCGGUA